UUUCUAUCUUCUCUUCCAAUC
rnacentral:miRNA from 1 species